rnacentral:rRNA from 1 species
GACGAACGCUGGCGGCGUGCUUAACACAUGCAAGUCGAACGGAAAGGCCCGCCACCUUGGUGGUGGGUACUCGAGUGGCGAACGGGUGAGUAACACGUGGGUGAUCUGCCCCGCACUGUGGGAUAAGCCUGGGAAACUGGGUCUAAUACCACAUACGACCAUGGCGUAGGGGUCAUGGUGGAAAGCUUUAUUGCGGUGUGGGAUGAGCCCGCGGCCUAUCAGCUUGUUGGUGGGGUAAUGGCCUACCAAGGCGGCGACGGGUAGCCGGCCUGAGAGGGUGGACGGCCACAUUGGGACUGAGACACGGCCCAGACUCCUACGGGAGGCAGCAGUGGGGAAUAUUGCACAAUGGGCGCAAGCCUGAUGCAGCGACGCCGCGUGGGGGAUGGAAGGCCUUCGGGUUGUAAACUCCUUUCGCCCGGGACGAAGCCCACCUUGGUGGGGACGGACCGGAGAAGAAGCACC